UGUAAUACCAAUUUUGGCCUGGCCUAUUAACGAAUAAACCCAAACAAAAAAUAUAAGCCCAAUAAACGAGCCCAAUAGCCAAUUCCUAAGCCAGGCCCGAAACUAAUGGAAAAGGGAAGGGUUGAGAAACCCUAGCAGCAGCCCCUGCCUCCAGCAGUCCCAAUCGGCGCACAACUCGGAGCUAGAGGCCUCCUCCGCGAGAGUUGCGCCUCCACGUCGCGCGUAGUCUCCUCCAACAGUACCUGCAGCAACAAGAUAGCAAAAAUCAUGCCAACAAAACAGAAUAGAUCUUUUUUUUGAUUUUGUUGAUUUAUCUUUUCCAUUUCGGCUAUUUAAAGGCCGAUUUAAAUCAUGUAAAAGGGG
rnacentral:lncRNA from 1 species